GGGGGUGUAGCUCAGAUGGUAGAGCGCGCGCUUAGCAUGUGCGAGGUACCGGGAUCGAUACCUGGCACCUCCA
rfam:Ciona savignyi cont_7287, whole genome shotgun sequence.